ACUGUGAAGAAGACAAUAAGGACUUUAGAUUCUGUUCCUAACCAUCGUCAUGGUGACUAUCCUGCUGAUUUCAAGACCCAUCCAGAGGACCUCCAGAAAGUAGCCUGGACAUUUCAUUUUGGCACCCGAAUGUGGGGCACUGAAAGAAGCACACUACAUUUUGAGGCUCUGAACAUAAGGACUUACACUCAGCAGUUAAACUGACAGGAUCAUAAAUUCAGUGGAGAAGUCCCUGUGACGUGGAAAUAGGCUUACCUGUGCCAGCAUAGGAGAUCACAAAGAGCAUCAAAAACACCAGAUACAGGAUCUUCAUGGUGACUGGAUGGCUGGAACCUGAGAAUUAUAGGAGAAGUAAGGGGAGGCCAGAUCAGGAGAGGUAAGGGCAGAAUUGAAAUAAACAACUCCUUUGAAACCGAUGCUUUCCAACAUGCUGAGAAAAAGAAGAGUCCCUUCCAAUUUGAAAUUUUUUAUGAGAGCUUCAAACCUGGAAAAUUCAUGGGUCCUGAUUAGAGUGGCUAGUACUAUUUGUCAUCUAACUUUCAGUUGUGAGUCAUGUUCUGCUAGUGAAAGCAUCAUGUCAAAAGAAAGGGAUUACUUAGAUUCACAUCCUCAGUGUUGGAAGGGUCCUCAGAUGACUUCUGUUUCAGCUCAGAUCCAAACAAUAAAACACCUCUACAAUGUCAUCAAUAAAUGGUUUUCUGGUA